rnacentral:misc_RNA from 1 species
CGCCAUACCUCCGUGGCCGCACAACAGGCAUAGCACAGCCGCCGCAGGGGCACUGCGUACAAGACGGCGGCCGCUUGCCCGCUCCUCGCCCGGCCGCCUGCUCGUCCGUCCGCGGCUGCCUCCGUCUAGUCGGCCGGCGGCUGUGCAAGAGUGUGAGCACGGCCACGCGUACCCAGGCAGGCAGUCACCGCCUCACUCCACUUCUUGGCCUUACGCAGUUACGCCCUUACAGCCUUCAGGCAGUCACCGCCUCCGUCUGUCCUGCUGCUUCCCGCCUUCCUGCUUGGCCCGUUGACCGUUGGGUGUUGGCCAUGCUCCACUGCUUGGCUGCAGGCUACUUGCUUUGCUCAAUUUGUUGCUUGCUAGCCUGCUUUAGUGUUGCUAGCCUGCUUCAGUGCCUUGGUUGCUUGCCUACUUGCUUGGCUAGUUGGCUUAGUUGCUUGCGUAGUUGCGUCGGCGUUGGCCGCGUUGCUGCUUGCAAGACUGCUACUUGUAAUUUCGGCUGCUUGCAAGCUGGCUACCCCGCAGUAGCAAAUUGCAAUGGAUUCAAGCUCGGCGAGAUCGGCAAAAAGAAAGACUCCAGGAAGAGAUAGUUGUGUUAUGUGUAACAAUAUUUUUAUACAUUUUAGUUAUUCGUAUAUCAUAGGAGUAAGACAAAUUAAUUUUAAUGUGCAGAUUUGAAGAGCUAUUUUAGCCGUGCUAGUACUCGUGGAAGUAGAGUUUGUCAUGACACAUUAGAUUGCACAUGUAGUUCUAUCAUAGGUACUUAUUAAUAAUGUUUUUAUACUAAAAUUUUAUUUUACUGAA